rnacentral:rRNA from 1 species
AGCGGUGAAAUGCGUAGAUAUUGUGAGGAACACCAGUGGCGAAGGCGGCUUUCUGGACUAGUUCUGACGUUGAGGCACGAAAGCAUGGGGAGCGAACGGGAUUAGAUACCCCGGUAGUCCAUGCCGUAAACUUUGUUCACUAGGUGUUGGAGGCAUCGACCCCUUCAGUGUCGUAGAUAAUUCGUUAAGUGAACCGCCUGGGGAGUACGACCGCAAGGUUAAAACUCAAAGGAAUUGACGGGGGCCCGCACAAGCAGCGGAGCGUGUGGUUUAAUUCGAGGCUACGCGAAGAACCUUACCAGGGAUUGACAUGCACGUAGUAGGGAAGCGAAAGCAGACCGACCCUUCGGGGAGCGUGCACAGGUGAUGCAUGGCUGUCGUCAGCUCGUGCCGUGAGGUGUCAGGUUAAGUCCUGUAACGAGCGCAACCCCUGUCGUGUGUUAUACGUGUCACACGAGACUGCCGGUGUCAAACCGGAGGAAGGCGGGGAUGACGUCAAGUCAGCAUGUCCUUCAUAUCCUGGGCUACACACACGCUACAAUGGCCGGGACAACAGGCAGCCAAGCCGCGAGGCGGAGCUAAUCCUCUAAACCCGGUCUCAGUUCGGAUUGUAGGCUGCAACUCGCCUGCAUGAAGUCGGAGUUGCUAGUAACCGCGCGUCAGCAACAGUGCGGUGAAUACGUUCCCGGGUCUUGUACACACCGCCCGUCACGUCAUGGAAGCUGGCAACACCUGAAGCCGGUGGCCUAACCGCAAGGAGGGAGCCGUCCAAGGUGGGGUUGGUGACUGGGACGAAGUCGUAACAAGGUAGCUGUAGCGGAAGCUGCGGCUG